rnacentral:rRNA from 1 species
UACGUAGGGGGCAAGCAUUGUCCGGAUUUACUGGGCGUAAAGAGCGUGUAGGCGGCCAAACAGGUCCGUUGUGAAAACUGGAGGCUCAACCUCCAGACGUCGACGGAAACCGUGUGGCUAGAGUCCGGAAGAGGAGAGUGGAAUUCCUGGUGUAGCGGUGAAAUGCGCAGAUAUCAGGAAGAACACCAAUGGCGAAGGCAGCUCUCUGGGACGGUACUGACGCUGAGACGCGAAAGCGUGGGGAGCGAACAGG